GUAAGGAUGAUACAUAUCAUGUAAACCCCAUCAAGAAGAUCAAAGUCUUUUUUUUUUUAAUAGGAUCCAAUACAUGUCAAAGCUCAUUCCAAUCAAAUCGUCCGUAAAUGAAUUCAAGAUGAAUAUGUCAUAGAGUAAUGUGACAAUGCAGUCAACUGGGGUCAGGGGUGGUUGUUUCAAUGAGAAAGUCGUCAAAUUUUAAUUCUAUCACCUCCAAGUGAAGGGGCAAUGAGCACGCAGGAUUAACUAGAUGCUGCUAGGGUGUUAUGCCACUGAUUUAUGAUUGUCCACGAAAAGAGGGCACGCAUCUCCAAAGCCAGAAUGUCAUUGUGGGCCAUAAAAUUGGUACAUUUUAAACUUACGUGGUGUCUUCCUUAUGUUCCUGCAAAUUCCUAUUAUGUUCAUCCUUACAAGGAAACGUCAAUGGCACAUUCUUUCAAUGCUUUUUAAAUGUGCUAGAGCUCAGUUGGUCCACACUCCAAGCUACAAAAUUGAAACAUUUGUAUGAUUUAAUAAGUAAUGCAUGAGCUACAUUUUGGUAUAUAUG